rnacentral:rRNA from 1 species
CCUACGGGUGGCAGCAGUGGGGAAUAUUGGGCAAUGGAGGCAACUCUGACCCAGCAACGCCGCGUGAGUGAUGAAGGUCUUCGGAUUGUAAAACUCUUUAAGUGGGGCCGAGGAAAGUAACUGUCCCCCCAGACUACGCCUCGGCUAACUACGUGCCAGCAGCCGCGGUAAUACGUAGGAGGCAAGCGUUAUCCGGAAUGACGGGGGGAAAAGGGGGCGUAGGGGGUUCGGCAAGUUAGUAGCGUAAUUCCGGGGCUAAACCUCGGAACUACUACUAAAACUGUUGGGCGUGAGUGCAGGAGGGGCAGAUGGAAUUCCUAGUGUAGCGGUGGAAUGCGUAGAUAUUAGGAAGAACACCAGUGGCGAAGGCGAUAUGCUGGACUGUAACUGACACUGAGGCACGAAAGCGUGGGGAGCAAACAGGAUUAGAUACCCGUGUAGUC